rnacentral:rRNA from 1 species
UUCGCAAUGCCCGAAAGGGUGACGAAGCGACGCCGCGUGGGUGAGGAAGGCCUUCGGGUUGUAAAGCCCUGUCAGGAGUUAAGAAAUGUAAGUGUGUUAAUACCACAUUUAUUUGACGAAGGCUCCAAAGGAAGUCACGGCUAACUCUGUGCCAGCAGCCGCGGUAAUACAGAGGUGGCAAGCGUUGUUCGGAAUUAUUGGGCGUAAAGGGCACGUAGGUGGGUUUGUAAGUCAGAUGUGAAAGCCUCCUGUUCAACGGGAGAAUUGCAUCUGAAACUGCGAAUCUUGAGUGUAGGAGGGGAGAAUGGAACUUCUGGUGGAGCGGUGAAAUGCGUAGAUAUCAGAAGGAACGCCGGCGGCGAAAGCGAUUCUCUGGCCUAUUACUGACACUCAGUGUGCGAAAGCUAGGGGAGCAAACGGGAUUAGAUACCCCGGUAGUCCUAGCCGUAAACGAUGGGCACUAAGUAGAGGGGUUUU